rnacentral:rRNA from 1 species
GAAACAUCUUAGUACCCGGAGGAAGAGAAAGAAAAUUCGAUUCCCUUAGUAGCGGCGAGCGAAACGGGAAGAGCCCAAACCAACAAGCUUGCUUGUUGGGGUUGUAGGACACUCUAUACGGAGUUACAAAGGACGACAUUAGACGAAUCAUCUGGAAAGAUGAAUCAAAGAAGGUAAUAAUCCUGUAGUCGAAAAUGUUGUCUCUCUUGAGUGGAUCCUGAGUACGACGGAGCACGUGAAAUUCCGUCGGAAUCUGGGAGGACCAUCUCCUAAGGCUAAAUACUCUCUAGUGACCGAUAGUGAACCAGUACCGUGAGGGAAAGGUGAAAAGCACCCCGGAAGGGGAGUGAAAUAGAACCUGAAACCGUGUGCUUACAAGUAGUCAGAGCCCGUUAAUGGGUGAUGGCGUGCCUUUUGUAGAAUGAACCGGCGAGUUACGAUUUGAUGCAAGGUUAAGCAGUAAAUGUGGAGCCGUA